rnacentral:rRNA from 1 species
CCGGAGCUAACGCGUUAAGUCGACCGCCUGGGGAGUACGGCCGCAAGGUUAAAACUCAAAUGAAUUGACGGGGGCCCGCACAAGCGGUGGAGCAUGUGGUUUAAUUCGAUGCAACGCGAAGAACCUUACCUACUCUUGACAUCCAGAGAACUUUCCAGAGAUGGAUUGGUGCCUUCGGGAACUCUGAGACAGGUGCUGCAUGGCUGUCGUCAGCUCGUGUUGUGAAAUGUUGGGUUAAGUCCCGCAACGAGCGCAACCCUUAUCCUUUGUUGCCAGCGGUUCGGCCGGGAACUCAAAGGAGACUGCCAGUGAUAAACUGGAGGAAGGUGGGGAUGACGUCAAGUCAUCAUGGCCCUUACGAGUAGGGCUACACACGUGCUACAAUGGCGCAUACAAAGAGAAGCGACCUCGCGAGAGCAAGCGGACCUCAUAAAGUGCGUCGUAGUCCGGAUUGGAGUCUGCAACUCGACUCCAUGAAGUCGGAAUCGCUAGUAAUCGUAGAUCAGAAUGCUACGGUGAUACGUUCCCGGGCCUUG